rnacentral:rRNA from 1 species
AACGAACGCUGGUGGCAUGCCUAACACAUGCAAGUCGAACGAGAUCUUCGGGUCUAGUGGCGCACGGGUGCGUAACGCGUGGGAAUCUGCCCUUUGGUUCGGAAUAACAGUUGGAAACGACUGCUAAUACCGGAUGAUGAUGAAAGUCCAAAGAUUUAUCGCCAGAGGAUGAGCCCGCGUAGGAUUAGCUAGUUGGUGUGGUAAAGGCGCACCAAGGCGACGAUCCUUAGCUGGUCUGAGAGGAUGAUCAGCCACACUGGGACUGAGACACGGCCCAGACUCCUACGGGAGGCAGCAGUGGGGAAUAUUGGACAAUGGGCGAAAGCCUGAUCCAGCAAUGCCGCGUGAGUGAUGAAGGCCUUAGGGUUGUAAAGCUCUGUUACCCGGGAUGAUAAUGACAGUACCGGGAGAAUAAGCUCCGGCUAACUCCGUGCCAGCCGCCGCCGUAA